rnacentral:rRNA from 1 species
AGCGUACACGGUGGAUGCCCUGGCAGUCAGAGGCGAUGAAGGACGUGCUAAUCUGCGAAAAGCGCCGGCGAGGUGAUAUGAACCUUUGACCCGGCGAUGUCCGAAUGGGGAAACCCAGUGUGAUUCGUCACACUAUCGUUAACUGAAUACAUAGGUUAACGAGGCGAACCGGGGGAACUGAAACAUCUAAGUACCCCGAGGAAAAGAAAUCAACCGAGAUUCCCCCAGUAGCGGCGAGCGAACGGGGAGCAGCCCGGAGUCUGAAUCAGCUUGUGUGUUAGUGGAAGCGUCUGGAAAGUCGCACGGUACAGGGUGACAGUCCCGUACACGAAAGCACACAGGUUGUGAACUCGAAGAGUAGGGCGGGACACGUGGUAUCCUGUCUGAAUAUGGGGGGACCAUCCUCCAAGGCUAAAUACUCCUGACUGACCGAUAGUGAACCAGUACCGUGAGGGAAAGGCGAAAAGAACCCCGGCGAGGGGAGUGAAAAAGAACCUGAAACCGUGUACGUACAAGCAGUGGGAGCACCUUCGGGUGUGACUGCGUACCUUUUGUAUAAUGGGUCAGCGACUUAUAUUCUGUAGCAAGGUUAACCGUAUAGGGGAGCCGAAGGGAAACCGAGUCUUAACUGGGCGUUAAGUUGCAGGGUAUAGACCCGAAACCCGGUGAUCUAGCCAUGGGCAGGUUGAAGGUUGGGUAACACUAACUGGAGGACCGAACCGACUAAUGUUGAAAAAUUAGCGGAUGACCUGUGGCUGGGGGUGAAAGGCCAAUCAAACCGGGAGAUAGCUGGUUCUCCCCGAAAGCUAUUUAGGUAGCGCCUCGUGAACUCAUCUUCGGGGGUAGAGCACUGUUUCGGCUAGGGGGCCAUCCCGGCUUACCAACCCGAUGCAAACUACGAAUACCGAAGAAUGUUAUCACGGGAGACACACGGCGGGUGCUAACGUCCGUCGUGAAGAGGGAAACAACCCAGACCGCCAGCUAAGGUCCCAAAGUCAUGGUUAAGUGGGAAACGAUGUGGGAAGGCACAGACAGCCAGGAUGUUGGCUUAGAAGCAGCCAUCAUUUAAAGAAAGCGUAAUAGCUCACUGGUCGAGUCGGCCUGCGCGGAAGAUGUAACGGGGCUAAACCAUGCACCGAAGCUGCGGCAGCGACACUAUGUGUUGUUGGGUAGGGGAGCGUUCUGUAAGCCGUCGAAGGUGGCCUGUGAGGGCUGCUGGAGGUAUCAGAAGUGCGAAUGCUGACAUAAGUAACGAUAAAGCGGGUGAAAAGCCCGCUCGCCGGAAGACCAAGGGUUCCUGUCCAACGUUAAUCGGGGCAGGGUGAGUCGACCCCUAAGGCGAGGCCGAAAGGCGUAGUCGAUGGGAAACAGGUUAAUAUUCCUGUACUUGGUGUUACUGCGAAGGGGGGACGGAGAAGGCUAUGUCAGCCGGGCGACGGUUGUCCCGGUUUAAGCGUGUAGGUGUGUGUUCCAGGCAAAUCCGGUUCACUUUAACACUGAGGCGUGAUGACGAGGCACUACGGUGCUGAAGUGAUAAAUGCCCUGCUUCCAGGAAAAGCCUCUAAGCAUCAGGUAACACGAAAUCGUACCCCAAACCGACACAGGUGGUCAGGUAGAGAAUACCAAGGCGCUUGAGAGAACUCGGGUGAAGGAACUAGGCAAAAUGGUGCCGUAACUUCGGGAGAAGGCACGCUGAUAUGUAGGUGAAGCCCCUGCGGGUGGAGCUGAAAUCAGUCGAAGAUACCAGCUGGCUGCAACUGUUUAUUAAAAACACAGCACUGUGCAAACACGAAAGUGGACGUAUACGGUGUGACGCCUGCCCGGUGCCGGAAGGUUAAUUGAUGGGGUUAGCGGCAACGCGAAGCUCUUGAUCGAAGCCCCGGUAAACGGCGGCCGUAACUAUAACGGUCCUAAGGUAGCGAAAUUCCUUGUCGGGUAAGUUCCGACCUGCACGAAUGGCGUAAUGAUGGCCAGGCUGUCUCCACCCGAGACUCAGUGAAAUUGAACUCGCUGUGAAGAUGCAGUGUACCCGCGGCAAGACGGAAAGACCCCGUGAACCUUUACUAUAGCUUGACACUGAACACUGGUCCUUGAUGUGUAGGAUAGGUGGGAGGCUUUGAAGCGUGGACGCCAGUCUGCGUGGAGCCGUCCUUGAAAUACCACCCUUUAAUGGCUGGUGUUCUAACGUGGACCCGUGAUCCGGGUUGCGGACAGUGUCUGGUGGGUAGUUUGACUGGGGCGGUCUCCUCCCAAAGAGUAACGGAGGAGCACGAAGGUUAGCUAAUCCUGGUCGGACAUCAGGAGGUUAGUGCAAUGGCAUAAGCUAGCUUGACUGCGAGAGUGACGGCUCGAGCAGGUGCGAAAGCAGGUCAUAGUGAUCCGGUGGUUCUGAAUGGAAGGGCCAUCGCUCAACGGAUAAAAGGUACUCCGGGGAUAACAGGCUGAUACCGCCCAAGAGUUCAUAUCGACGGCGGUGUUUGGCACCUCGAUGUCGGCUCAUCACAUCCUGGGGCUGAAGUAGGUCCCAAGGGUAUGGCUGUUCGCCAUUUAAAGUGGUACGCGAGCUGGGUUUAGAACGUCGUGAGACAGUUCGGUCCCUAUCUGCCGUGGGCGCUGGAGAAUUGAGGGGGGCUGCUCCUAGUACGAGAGGACCGGAGUGGACGCAUCACUGGUGUUCGGGUUGUCAUGCCAAUGGCACUGCCCGGUAGCUAAAUGCGGAAGAGAUAAGUGCUGAAAGCAUCUAAGCACGAAACUUGCCCCGAGAUGAGUUCU